UCCCCGUUACCGGGGCAGUCUGAUUAGAAAAAUCCAACUAAUCAUAAGGGUUGCGCUCGUUGCGGGACUUAACCCAACAUCUCACGACACGAGCUGACGACGGCCAUGCAUCACCUGUCACCGAAUUCCAAAAGGCACUUUCUACUUUCGUAGAAAUUCUCGGGAUGUCAAGUCUGGGUAAGGUUCUUCGCUUAGCAUCGAAUUAAAGAACACGCUCCACCGCUUGUGCGGGUCCCCGUCAAUUCCUUUGAGUUUUAAUCUUGCGACCGUACUCCCCAGGCGGGAUGCUUAACGCGUUAGCUUCGCUACUACACGGGUCGAUACGUAUAACAGCUAGCAUCCAUCGUUUACGGCGUGGACUAC
rnacentral:misc_RNA from 1 species